rnacentral:tRNA from 1 species
CCGAAUAUAGCUCAGCGGUAGAGCGGGAGACUGUAGUGCAUAUAUAGUAAUCUCUAGGUCCCUGGUUCAAAUCCGGGUGUUCGGA